rnacentral:rRNA from 1 species
UACGAAGGGGCUAGCGUUGCUCGGAAUUACUGGGCGUAAAGCGCGACGUAGGCGGAUUGUUAAGUCGGGGUGAAAUCCUGGAGCUCAACUCCAGAACUGCCUCGAUACUGGCGAUCUCGAGUCGGGAGAGGUCGAGUGGAACUGCGAGUGUAGAGGUGAAAUUCGUAGAUAUUCGCAAGAACACCAGUGGCGAAGGCGGCUCACUGGCCCGGUACUGACGCUGAGGUGCGAAAGCGUGGGAG